rnacentral:snRNA from 1 species
GGAGGUCGGGGUGAUCUGACGGUGACAUCUGUCACCUCCAUCGACCUCCAGGGCUGAUUAAGUUGAUCUGGCUCCUCACCAGAUGCCUCCUUCCUCCCUCACUACUCCAUCCAUGAGUGUCCUUCCGAAAGCUGUGUGCUUAGCUAGAGAGGAAGAUGUUCACUGAUUGACACUUGGGUCAAAAGUGUAUGACUAGCUGUGCUCCCCAGCUAGAACCUCCAAGCAAGGCGCCAGGAGGUUCAGGGCGCUCCGCAGAGUUCUUUAUUUCUUGCUUGCUUGCAGAGGUCUCAGAGUGUCUAAAGCCAUGACUGAGAUCCUCU